GAUGAACGCUGGCGGCGUGCCUAAUACAUGCAAGUCGAGCGAACAGAUAAGGAGCUUGCUCCUCUGACGUUAGCGGCGGACGGGUGAGUAACACGUGGGUAACCUACCUAUAAGACUGGAAUAACUCCGGGAAACCGGAGCUAAUACCGGAUAACAUUUAGAACCGCAUGGUUCUAAAGUGAAAGAUGGUUUUACUAUCACUUAUAGAUGGAUCCGCGCCGUAUUAGCUAGUUGGUAAGGUAACGGCUUACCAAGGCAACGAUACGUAGCCGACCUGAGAGGGUGAUCGGCCACACUGGAACUGAGACACGGUCCAGACUCCUACGGGAGGCAGCAGUAGGGAAUCUUCCGCAAUGGGCGAAAGCCUGACGGAGCAACGCCGCGUGAGUGAUGAAGGUCUUCGGAUCGUAAAACUCUGUUAUUAGGGAAGAACAAAUGUGUAAGUAACUGUGCACGUCUUGACGGUACCUAAUCAGAAAGCCACGGCUAACUACGUG
rnacentral:rRNA from 1 species